rnacentral:rRNA from 1 species
ACGGGUGAGUAACGCGUGGGAACGUACCUUUUGGUUCGGGAUAACCCAGGGAAACUUGGACUAAUACCGGAUAAGCCCUUACGGGGAAAGAUUUAUCGCCGAAAGAUCGGCCCGCGUCUGAUUAGCUAGUUGGUGAGGUAAUGGCUCACCAAGGCGACGAUCAGUAGCUGGUCUGAGAGGAUGAUCAGCCACAUUGGGACUGAGACACGGCCCAAACUCCUACGGGAGGCAGCAGUGGGGAAUAUUGGACAAUGGGCGCAAGCCUGAUCCAGCCAUGCCGCGUGAGUGAUGAAGGCCCUAGGGUUGUAAAGCUCUUUUGUGCGGGAAGAUAAUGACGGUACCGCAAGAAUAAGCCCCGGCUAACUUCGUGCCAGCAGCCGCGGUAAUACGAAGGGGGCUAGCGUUGCUCGGAAUCACUGGGCGUAAAGGGUGCGUAGGCGGAUCUUUAAGUCAGGGGUGAAAUCCUGGAGCUCAACUCCAGAACUGCCUUUGAUACUGAGGAUCUCGAGUUCGGGAGAGGUGAGUGGAACUGCGAGUGUAGAGGUGAAAUUCGUAGA